CUUCCCGCAGCUCCUGCAAACCCUCCGCUCCCGGGAGCUGCAGCCUUCAGUGCACUCUGUCCUGGAUGUCGAGUUUACGCGGGCGCUAUCCAGAGCCGGGAGAAGUGGCGGCAGUCUCCACUCAUCAACUCCCCAAGGCGGCUCCUGGGCCACCAAGGCCGAAGCACAGUUGGAACGCGAGCUUUAGCCCGAGACGCCCAGACCUGCGCUGUCCGAGCGGGGCACGGUGGCGGCCGAGCGGCUUCCGGCCCAAGGGGGAGACGCAGUUGAGUGAUCGCGACCAGCACACUUGGCGCUCGCAGCCUCCAGCGUCGGAGAGGGAAAUACUGCCGGGUUCCUGCGUCCUCCGGGGCGGAGAAGUUGCUUAAGCCUUGCAAGAAGCAGAGCGAGCGAGCGGACCAGUGGAAGCCCUGGCUGGCUUCGCUGCACAAACGCUAGUGACGGAUUCCUGGGGAACAGCGCCCUCUGGAGGAGCCUCUUGUCUACACAGAGUCAGGAACUAGACCGCAAGCUCUGGAACUCGAAGCACCCUUUCCCCACACCACCCCCAUUACAACCUUUGGCAAAAUCAUCCAGAGAUGCAAAACUUCUAGACGCCACAUUUGCUUACAUUUGCUUUCCUUGCUAACUUGUACCCAUGCUUCAAAUACCUGCUCAAAUCCUGUCCUCCGAAAAGAAGCUUUCUGGUGAGCCCAACCCAUUUUGCCCUCUGAUCGCCUGAGCAUCAGUGCCUGAACCCUGGACUCCAGCGCGCGCCCGCCCGCGGCGCAUACCGCACUGCACAGCGGUCCUGCUUCCUGGAUCAUCCUUCUCCAAAGAGACUUAAUCCACCUCAUCCACCCCUUGGAUGGCUCGCUGGGCAUGCUGCCAUCCCCCACAGUAAAUAAGACCGAAGUCACCUUUCCCAAAAUUGGAUGAUGUCAAGAUAUGCCCUGCCCUUGGGGGCAAAUGGAAAGGAGACACUGGACAGCCCACACUUAUGAGAUACUUCCUUGGCAAUACCCCACACUCCCCAGACUGCGGGGCUCCUGCCUCUGUGCUCCCAGACACGGAUCUGUCUCUGUUCUCGUGAUUUGUUUUCCAAUCUGUUGCCCUCUGUAGACUGUAAGUUCUCUUAUAAUGAGGCUUAUAUUGUCUUUAUCUUACCUUUCCUGCUCUGCAAAAUAACGAUAACUGUACCUGCUUCAUUGGUUUUUGUGAGGAUUAAAUGAGAUAAUAAUGCAUAGAAAGCACUAGUGCCCGAAACUUUGAAAGAGCUCAAUAAAUGUUUCACACAAUCAUUAUGAACCGUUCCACUUCCUACCAGGCACAAAGCCUGACGCACAACAGGUGCUCGAGUACUGUUAGAUAUGUGGAUACAUGAAUGCAGGAGGGAACGAUGUGCUGUAUCUCCCUCAGCCUGGGACUCCCAGAGAGUUAACUAGACCAUGAGUGGAAGUAUGUGUUCUUGGGUC